CUUCAAAGAACUGUAAUUAUAUUAAUGAAGCUGCAGCAGUUCUUUCCAGCUCCUUUGCAUGUUGCUGCUUUUACCUGCUAUGUUGUCUUGUUUGGAGCGGGACAUCUUUUAUUUUAUUCUUUUUUUAAAAAUUCUGGUUAGUCCCUGAGUGUGGUUCCUAGGAUGCCAAAAAAGCCAUGCUAGAGAUUUGCUGAGAGCCAUGGCUAUUUUUGUUAGAAGCUGAUACUUUAGUCUGAGCUGCAAGCACUGCCUUGGGAAAGGGGUUAGUUUCUUGGGAGGUGGGGAGGGCAGGGCAGGGCUUUACAGAGGAUAGCUCAAAAGAAGCAGAAAAGAAGGGGAAAAAUACCCCCAAGAAACCAAGAACUGUAGAGGACUUCCCACCUUCUAAUUCUGCAUCUCCUGCGAGAGUCGGCACUGACCCUGACGUAUCCUCUCAGCUGCCAAUAUAACUUGACCUUUUCACCACUGUCACCAUUAUGACUGAGAUUACAGCAGAAGGACCUGUGUCCACCACAACAGUGAUAGACAGCAAGAAUGGAACAGUCCCUAUACCACAUAUAAAAAUGUCCAAGAAAUCAGUUUCAGAAGACUUUGUGACAACAUUCAGCUCACCAGCAGCAUGGCUACUUGUUGUUGCACUUAUCGUUACAUGGUCAGCUGUGGCUAUUGUCAUGUUUGACUUGGUGGAUUACAAAGGACUGGCAGGAAUACAUCAACUUGAUAUUGACAAAGAUGUGGGGAAAGAUGAGAUCCCUAGAGGGCGUUCUGUGAGCAAGCUUGCCACUGAUCCACUGAGAAUUGUCUAUGGUGCUGUAGAAGAGACCACAGAUUGGGUUUAUGGCUUUCUUUCAUUACUGUCUGAUCUCAUAUUUGAAGAUGAAGAAGAGAGUGAAAAAGGUGAAGUGGAACCUUCUGUGAAAAUAAAAGAAGAAAUCCAACCACCUGUCAAAAAGAAAGAGAUCCAGAUAGAGAAGCCUGAAAAACAUGAAAAAAUUGAAAAAAAGCCACCACCCAAAGAGAUCCAUAUAGACAAGCCUGAAAAACAUGAGAAAAUUGAAAAGAAGCCACCACCCAAAGAAAUUAAGAUAGAAAAACCUGAGAAAAAAGAGAGAGUUGAAAAGACACCACUCCCCAAAGAAAUUCACAAAAAGAAACCUGAAAAACCUGAGAAGCCAGAGAAACCUGAAAAACUAGAGAAACCUGAGAAACUAAAAAAAACUCAAAAGCCAAAGAAACUAGAAAAACCUGAAAAAAGGGAAGUCUCUAAAGCUAUACUCAGAGAAAAGACUGUAAAACAUGAAAAACCUGACAAGAAAGAAAAGCCAGAAAAGAGAGUCAAGCCUGAACGGCCUGAAAAACUGGAAAAGAAAGAAAAAGCCAUAGCUCCUCCCAAAGAGAAACCUGCAAAGCAAGAAAAGCCUAAGAAGAAAGCCCCUCCUUCUCCAAAAGACAAGAAGAGCAUCCAAGUUGAAGAAAAGGCUAAGAAGGAUGUGAAAGAAGGAAAACCAGAAGCCAGGACACUUGAAAGAGUGAAGCAUAAGGAAACCAAAGCAGAGGAAACUACAUCAACAAAAGCCAAAGCCAAAGCGAAGGAGGCGACAGCGCUGGCAGUUACAGAAAAGUCAGAUGUGGAAGAUCAAUAUGCAUUCUGUCGCUAUAUGAUUGACAUGUUUGCUCACGGGGAUUUUUAUACAGGACCAGCUCCUCACCUAUUUUUACCACAGACUCCAGCAAUGACCCCUGCAUUGCCAGGUCCUGAAGUGGGAAAGCCUAAUGUAACAGCUGCAAAAGUAAUGAAAGAAGAAAAGAGAAAAAAGAUAAUUCAAGAAAAGAAAACUAUUACUGAAAUAAAAAAGAAAGGAGCAGAAGAGGAAAAAAGGGUAAUCCAUGAAAAGAAAGUUCUCCCUGAAAUUAAAAAGAAAGAAGAGGAAAAGAAAGUAACCCAUGAGAAGGAAGUCAUUCCUGAAAUUAAAAAGAAAGAAGAAGAAAAGAAAGUAACCCAUGAGAAGAAAGUCAUGCCUGAAAUUAAAAAGAAAGAUGCAAUGCCAAUUUCUUAUCUUUUUCUUCACGUCUUGGAAGCAGAAGAGGAAAAGAAAAUAACCCCUGAGAAGAAAGUCAUUCCUGAAAUUAAAAAGAAAGAAGAAGAAAAGAAAGUAACCCCUGAGAAGAAAAUCAUGCCUGAAAUUAAAAAGAAAGAAGAGGAAAAGAAAAUAACCCAUGAGAAGAAAGUCAUUCCUGAAAUUAAAAAGAAAGAAGAGGAAAAGAAAGUAACCCAUGAGAAGAAAGUCAUUCCUGAUAUUAAAAAGAAAGCAGAGGAAAAGAAAGUAACCCAUGAAAAGAAAGUCAUUCCUGAAAUUAAAAAGAAAAGUAUGCUACUUGAAGCAGAGGAAGAAAAGAAGGUGACCCAUGAGAAGAAAGUUAUUCCUGAAAUUAAAAAGAAAGACAUGGAACAGGAAAAGAAAGUAACCCAUGAAAAGAAAGCCAUUCCUGAAAUUGAACAGAAAGGGAAAAAAGUAGAAAGAAAGAAAGCUCCUGAGAAGAUAGCUGUCCCCGAAGUUAAAAAAGCAGACAAGAAAGAAGCUGUUUUGACCAAAGAACUGAAAAAGCCAGCAAAAGCUCCUGCAGCCGAAGCAGCUUCUGCAAAAGUGGUAACACCAGUUUCCAAGACACCAGUGGCAGCUAAGGCAACAGCAGCUAAGCCUACAAUAGAACCACACAAGAAAGAGAAGCAGGUAGAAACUGCCAAGCUACCAAAGAAAGAAGUACCUGUAAAAGCACCUGCAGAUACUCAUAAACCAAAAGUGAUAUCAGAAACUCAUAAAAAAGAAACUGAACAAGCCAAAGAAGAACUUGCUUGGAUUUUGACUAAAAAAGCAGCACAUGAAAAGAGAGAUGAUAGACCACUGAAGGCAGCCGAACAAGAUAAACCAAAACCUAAAGAAUCAAAGUUUGAGAAAGAAAAAGUGAAACUACCUGCUGCCACAAAAGAUAAGGUCAAAGAGCUCAUUAAGAGAAAAGAAGUGAAGCUGUCGGCUCCCACAAAGCAAAAUGGGACCACAAAGGAAAAGGACAUGAAGGUGCCAGUUGCUAAAGAAAAAGAACCUGCAAAACUAAAAGUAAGGCCUGCCACUGCUGCCAAAGAAAGAGAGGCAGGAAAAAUAAAGGAAACGAAGCCUCCAGUUGCACAGAAACAGAAAGGUCAUGAAACUGUAAAACAUGAAAAGCCUAUCUCCUCCUCUAAAUCAGAACAAGAAACUGUUAAGCAUGAAAAAGAAGUUCCUCAAAGAAAACCAGCCAAGUCCAAAGAAACGACAAAACCUUCAACUGAAAUUACAGUACCAGACAAGAAGAAAGCAGAAAAGGCUGAGAAGGAAAGGGGAGGAAAAACAGUGGAGAAAACACAUGUGAAAGAAGAAAAGGCGAAAGUCCCAGUGGUAAAAGAAAUCCACCAACAUCGCAAUGUGACAACAGACAAGAUGUCAAAGGCAGCAAAAGCAGCAUCUGCUGUUCGCUACUAUCAAUGUGUCUUCGUAAAUGGAUACAAUGGCUAUACAUCACAACACCCUGUUACUCCAGCUCAGGACUACAAAGGAAAGGCUGUCCAGCCAAAGAUUUCGAGGCACAAGACCAAGACAUCAAAACAAUAGAGCCAAGUGACCUGCGAUGUUUUGACAAUUUUGCACUAUAUGCCUUCUACAGAGGGCCUUAUGAAAUCUGUCGGCACCUGUGAUCACAAAAAUGUGAUCCAGUAGGUCACAUGCACUUAAAGAGGUUUUCUGCUCUUUACCAGAGCAGUAAUGGUAACAAGAGGAAAAGAUGGAGUAGUGUUUGAGAGAGUAUCCAAGUACCCCUUUCCUGGAGGAAAGCAUGGUGCUGAAAUAGUACUUGCCAGAAAGGAAAGUGUGUGUGCGCAUGUUUGCCUGUGAGAAGUUGUGUGAAUUUGUUGUUGCUGCUGCUGCUGCUGUUGAUAUGCUGUUUCUGGUGUGUUUGUUUUGUUGGAACAAAAAAGCAGUUUCCAUGUAUUCAGUGUAAGGAAAAGUGCUCCCAGCUGAAAUGACUUAAGAAUCAUAUGUCACAUUAUUUGCAACCCAUGUUGGUACUCGGUUCCAUAAAUGGAAAGAUAUCGGUGUUCAAAUUUAAAUAUAUCAUUAGACAUAUUGCUUACAAUACGAGUUGAUUUAAUGAACCCUUGUAUGUUUGUAAUAAGGUGACUCCUCACUGAUGUCUAUAUAUUUAUUGGAUAAAGAAAUGUCUCCCCCCUACACAUACUCCUGUCACCCUGCAUGAUUUUGGUAUUUAGAUCCCAAAGUUCUUCAUACAUCUGUUUCAGUAAGAUACCUUUUGACAUUAAAUAAUACAUUGUAUAUAUAGUGAGGGAGUUCACUUGGAAGCAAGGAAUCCUGUAAAACAAAACCCUGUAAGUAAUCAAAAGACAAAAAUCUUUAUUUUUCAGGUUUCUUGGGGCAGAGGGGAGAGGUCCAAAGCUACUCUCCUCAAAAUGAUUCCAUCAUAUUCAGCAUUAGCAGUAAGCAGGUUCACCAGCUCCAAAAGGUUGGAGCACUGCAGCAAACAAUGCCUUUAGACUGUCACCUGCAUCCCUACAAAUCAGGCUCAUGGGUGUGGAUCUGGAAUUUUCAUAAGGAUUCGCCACUCCAACCACAGUGAGAGGGACCCUUCCAGAUGCUCCUGGUCAUCCAUACAGCCAUGAAAGUAGCAAAGAAGACUGCAUGGAUCCAUCACUCUUACCUGAAACCUGCCGUUGUGGACCACAGCCCCGUUGUGCUGUCCAUCAAGUUAAGAAGACAAGAAGAUUCAGAGGACUGGACUAUUGCAUGCCUAUUUGAAGAACAGAAUGGGGUUUCUGGGCCUCUGGUUGGGUCUUGCUUUCCUUGUGAGGGAGACAAAUCCAGAUAGACCCCCAUGCUAGGGUAUUGGUAAAGGCCAGUGCCCAAAAGUCCAAAGUGCCCUUACUUGAGCCCAACUUGGAAGGGAUGUCUGGUUCCUCCACCGCCCUAGUCAGGGAGUCUGUACAAGGGAAGAACUCAUAGUUGAAUUGGAUAGUCUGAAGGCCUAUGUUUGUAUCUCCCCUACCUCAGAGAUGGGGAAGCUGGUGAUGGCAAAAAUGAGGAAGAAGAGGGUAAAGGAAACCCCCAUACUUGAGUCAAUAACUGAGACUUAAGCAAAUCUUAGUGAAAGGGCCACUAACCUCACUGAGAAUAAUCCUGAGGGUGGAAAUCUCAAAGAGUUCCAAUAUUCUUUAAAGUACAAUUUCUUUCUUGAACUGGCCUCCACUGCCUUAAAUAGCUCCACCUUUGUGUAGCACAUAUACUUUCUGUGGGAGAAACCUUUGCUACUUGUAUGUAUGGUCUGCCAAGCUCCCAAAAGGAGCUCCAACAGGAGGGGGGAAUUCACCUUGGCCAGGGAACAGACACUGAAGUGUCCUCUUUUGGACCCAACAAACCCCAUCCCCUCACUAACCAGAUAAAAGCUUGAGUAGGAACCAUGGGAAAUCCCCAAAGGCCUGCUACUUGUCUAAUGCUGAAAAGGAAAAAUAGGGUGAAUGGUUUCCAAGGAGGCAGAGUAUAUCAAAAGCCCCCAAAACCUAACUAGUCCAGAUCACACUCUCUCCCAUCCUCCCCCCCUCCCACCCUCUCGUUCCUCAACCCAGACAGCCUGUUCUCCCCUUUUUUUGCCUCUGGGAUUCUUUCUACUAUGUGGAAACCUAGAUUAUACCUAUAUUCUGUCCAAUAGCUCGGGAGCCCGUGUGCCCUCAGACACUUGACUUCCCUCGCCAUGUUACCCUCAAAGGAGUACCUAAAUCAGACCCUUGUCUUGAGAGUAUAAGUUUGCUGCUCAAUGACUGAAUAAAUUUAUCUUAUCUUGAGAGUAUAAGUGGGAAAUAUAACAUUUGCAUAUAGCAAAUCGGAACCUUUGGGAUUAAAGUAACACAUUGGACUGGGUCUCAUGAUCAGUGAGACCCGGUUCCUAGCGGUGAGCGGGAAGAGCGGGCUAAGCCCGCUCUCCCCGCUCAUGAGCAGGCAGGGAGCCCUGGGUGGCCGGAUCAUCCGUCCACACGAUGGCCAGUUCCGAGACGGAGCCGCUGGGGGCUGGGGAUCUCGGGGGCCGCAUGGCCCCCGGAAGCCCCAGUAUGCCCUGCAUGAGCGCGCAGGGCAUACUGGGGAGACCCCCAAUGCUUUUAAGCCUCCCAGCUGGGGGUCUCCUCACGAGCAGCUGUGGCACAGAUCCGCACUGCAGCUACUCACGAGCAGAUAGCCCGGGUUUGCGGAGCACUUGCUCCGCAAACCCGGGCUAAGGGGCGGGCUACAGGAGUGGGUUAGCCGCUCCAGAACCACCGGGCUUGGCUGCGAGCCCGGUGGUUCUGACGAUCACAAAAAUCGGGCUAGGAUUUUCCUAGCCCUAUUUGUGUGAUCAUAAGAAUAGCCACUUUGGCUUGUGUACGAUGCACAGGUGCAAAAGUUGUUUACUCCACAGUAUAAAAAGAUAAAUCUAGCUCUUAAGCAGGAUGUAUUCAUUGCUACUAGUUUUGCAAACUAAAAUGUGCAAAGUGUCUCUUGUUGGCAUUGGUAUAUAUAUAUUUCAGUUUGAGAAAGUUGUAAGGUUCAGUUUUUUUCAGUUAAAGGUAUUUUGUUUACAUAUGGUUUCAAACAAAUCUCCUGUCCAUCCUGAUAGUUUAGUUAUCAGCAGUAAUUUAUAACUGAUGAAUGUCUUUCUCUAUGCUUGAUGUGCAAGUUGUCAUAGCCUUUCUCAACAUUCUAAGCCAAAUUUAUGCGUUCAUGUUUCACUCCUAUAAUGUGUUGGUGUUAGGAGAUAAGACUACCAGAGAAAUUGUAUUACACCAGUGGACUCAAAGAUCAGAUGUUAGUGCACAGUCUUUAGCCCAAAAAUAUAGGCCCCAGUAUGUUAAUAACCAAUUGUUCUGAUUGAAUUUUAUCAGCAAGCAGAAACUGAAAGAACAAAGCAUUGUCAGAUAUCGAAAGAAAAUCCAUUAUAAAGCAAACAGUUCAGAUGGCUAAAGUCAAUCUCCUGAAACCAAACCACAGAAGUUAAGCACUGCUGUUCAUUACAAAGAUUGCAAAAUUUCAACCUGCAAUAAACGUCAUUUUUUCCCUGGCUGAAUACAGGGAUUGAAUUUUUGACUUCCAUAAUUUCUAGGUCCGAUUCCUUUGUUAUUCCUGUACUACAGGAAUUCCAAGAAGCUUAGGAAAGAAAAAAAUGUGAAAUGGGUAAGAUAUAUUUUCAAUUCUGUAGUAUGGUUACAGAUGAGUAUGGAAAUGAAAGAUGACUGUGACAAGUGCUGGUUGCAUGCAAAUAAGGACAGUAGAAAUACGGGUAGAAAUGAGUGCAGAGUGGAAAGAAGGGAAAUGGGCUAUGAUCUGACUGAGACUUGUUAGGUAGCAAACAGUGGCUUAUAAUUAGAGGGGGAAGAUCAUAGUUGCACAGGACAAAGGCAGAAAUUGUGAGCCCAAGAGGGUAAAAAAUGUUGACAGGCCAGCAUUGCAAAGGAAUACUGAAGAGAAAUGAGAAAUGAAAAAUGAGUUAGAGUGGCUUGAGGGCUAAAUGGGAUGCAGAAACGGAGGGCCAAAAGAAAGAAUGUUUGGCCUUAGGUUUUGAGAGACAAGACAAAACUAAUAGAAAAUGCUUCUUAGGAACUGAAGAAAUAAUUAUUGAAGGGGACUUUACUGAAUUUUUGACCGUGCUCAUGUGCAGUUCCUACAAUGAGUUUGUACUGGUGUGUACUCAGAGAGACCAUAGUAUAUGGACUGGUGCUAAAUAGUGUUAUAAUAGUAGUACUAGUGGUAAGGAACACAUUGGAUUUGAUCCAGGUCCUUUGUGGGUGCAGUACCUGACAUGGAAGAAAUUCCAUAAAACAUAACAGAGCCUGGUUUCCCCACCUUCCUCAGAGAUGCAGCAUGCCAAGUUAUUAAAGGAAUGGGAAACCUGUGUCUGGUCAUUCCAGUACAACCUUUCCCCACUUCUCUCAAUCAGGGAAUAUGAGUGCCUGCAUGUGCACCCAUAUGCAUGUACUGAGGCAGCGGAUGGGGGAACAGGACUCUGUUAAGUCCUAUAGUGAUCCCCCUGUGACUGGCUGCCACAUCAAAGGUAGGACUCAAUUUAGUCCAAUAUAUACUAAUAGCACACAGCUGAAUCAAUGUUGUAUAAAUUCACUACCCUGUAAGUAUGAGCCCAUACUGUUAACCUAGUAUUUAUUUAUUUUUUAUUUAUUUUUGCAUUUAUAUACCGCCUUUCAUUAAAAAGAUAACCCCAAGGCGGUUUACAAAAGUUAAAAACAUACAGUAGUCUAAAAUGGGAGAAAGGGGCAGAGCAACAUGUAGACCAAGAAUUUUUGCUGGCUUGCCUGGGAAUAGUUUCCAAAGCUGAACAAGUUGGGCAGCACAAAAAUAUCCUUAAAGUUUUACCACACAAGAGCACUCCUCUGGUAUCAUGAAGCCUUUUGAAUCCAUGUUGGUAGUUUGGAAUGUUAGUUCCUCCACUGCACACCCAUAGACAGUGGCUAAAAAUGCUGCAUGUCAUGGAAGAUUAAACGAUUCAGAUCUCAGGAGAUCAUGCUUAUCAGAGGCAUUUAAUUUUCCUUGGAAUUUUGCUUAACACCUUCCCUAGGAAAUCUAAUGAGAAACAAAGAUUUUUAUUCUUUAGACUUGGUAGUUUAAUUAAUGUUGUGUGGGUUUUUUGAGGGGGGGGUUGCUUUUGAUUUGAAAAGUAAUACACUAAAAUUUUCAUUCAAUUCACAAUUACAUUUUAUAGCUGUAGGACCACACAUUAAAACAUUGAACCUAUUGUGAUGAAGAGGCAAUCCCAAAGGUUCUAUAGAAGAACACCUGAAAGUAAACAAAGUACUGGAACAUUUUGGGGUGUGUGUGUGAGAGAGAGAGAGCGAGAGCGAGCGCAUGCACACACAUGCAUACUUAUUUGGUAUAUACUUCAGCAUAUGGCUACUAACAUGUUUCCCUUUAAGAGCGAUCAUAGCCCUGUUCAGAUGUUCUCCGAGAAAAUCAAGCAUGUGAGGGGUGGAAACCACACAGUCCCUACCAUCCACAUGCCAUCUAACCACACCCUUAGGAGUCCCUGAAUUCAGAAUUUGACUGGAAAGGCAAGCACUGAGUGUGGGGAGGGUUAUUCCCCAUGACUGAAAAUCCUGAACAUUCCAGGGUUUUCAGUGAUGGGGCGAAACCCUCCUCACCUUCAGCACUUGCCUCUGCAGAAAAAUGUUUAGUGCAGAGAGAGUGGGAAGCAUGACUAGAGUCAGGACAACGUUUUAACAGGUGCAUUCUUGCUACACCCCUCAUAGUUGUUCUCCUAAUGUCUGAACAGGACUCAUACUACUUUAUUGUUGCUCUUAAAAAUACAUUUGAUAUAGCAGAUAUUUUGUCAUGAACCUAUUACAUCAUCUAAACAUGUUUGUUACAUUUAUUGGUAUGUUAAUGUGAAACUUUUAGGAGAUGGAAAUAUUUAAUUGCAAAAUAAAUAUUUCAAUGGACUUUCAAUUGAACUUUGAGGCUGGAAUUCUCCAAAGAAACAUGCAACAUAUAAACAUACUGUUGGUUUAUGUCAAACUACCUACUGCUGUACAUUUUGUCUGUGUUUUAUAUUUUAGAAAAUGUUACCAGCUCUCUUAAAUAAAAGGGAAAUUAUUUCAACUCA